UUGAUCGCCGCGAAAGGGCACGCGGGGCACAGCAGGGCACACCGCCACCGCUGCCCGCCGCCGGCAGCCCAUGACUCUUCUUCGCCGCUCGUCCGCGUCGCGAUUCAACGCGAAAGGUUGUCGCCUCGUUAGAGAUUGAUUUACUUUGGAAAAAUAACAAAGUCUUUUCUUAUCGUUAGCUACGUCGCUAUCGCGAACGAAGGGCUCGCAAGGGCUCGUGAAAUGAAUGACAGCGACUUCGUGGGAAUUUGUGAAGAUCGCUUAUACGAGCUAGGAUAACUUAUACAAUUCUUUAUUUGCGAUCACCUGUCAUCGCGUUACGUAUGAGUUUAUUCACGGCGGUGACAUUGGCAAUGUUGCUUCGAAUUUGUGUCAAGCAGAUGAAGAAAUUUAAUCAAAAAAUUUCAUCAUACACUGGAUUUUUUCGGAAAGGAUCACAUGUACACUUUGUAACAUGUCAUUGUGCAAUGUAGUCUUCUUGGCACAUACUUAAACGCAGGAGAUGAAUAAGGUAUUUAGAACAGUCAACAAUUGUAUAUACGAACUACUGAUAACAUAUUGAAGACUGAAAGUCCUUAAUUAAAUUUCUUUUCAUUUUUAUAUACAGCUUUAAUUGUUGAAAACAGUAGUGAGAAUUGUCGCUGAUUACGAGGCAAAUAAUGAACUUAUUAAAUUCGAUCGAAGCGCAAGCGUAUUUACUCGGAUAUUUAUCGUUAAAUGAACAAAACAUGUUUACGUCAGUGAGUGAGAACUGUGCCAGUUCGGGCUCGAUUUCUCAUUCUCUGUUAUUUACUUUAUAUUUAUAUAUUAUUUACUCAAUAUUUUGUCUCAAGCUCACUUUUUUAAAAUAUAUCUGUGCAGCCGCGAUCCUUUCUCUGAUUCAGCUAAUUAGUUCGAGACUUUUCGACGGUGCUCUAAUUCACGUGAGCGUAUUCUCGUGACGUGAGCGAAGAACGGCAAGACUGUAUAUGUCGAAUGUGUUGUGUAUGAGAAAUAAUACGGGGGCGUAUAGUGACGUGCCGUUCCAUUCAGACGCGGCUCGUGACGACGCGAGGCGCCGAAAUAGCGUCGGCGUCACUCACUCACCGCGACUCGGUUUCAAUACCGUAAAAGAAUUUUCUUGUGAGGACUCGCACAUGGUCUUUUAAAACAUUCUCAGCACGAUGACGCGUCUCGAAGCGAUUGCCAAUUUUCGACGAAUGCAAUAUGGACAGAAUGCGUUUUCAAUCUUUUGAUAAAGUUAGAAAUCCACUGAUCACGCGAAUUUUAUUAAUUCGCAAUCAUCGUGCAAUCAUCAAUGCGCUUAGAUAACUCAAUUACCUAAAAAUAAGAUAAAUUGUAAAUGUAUUUAAGAUAAAGAUUAUUUAACUUUAAAUUUAUCUAGGUAAAAUAUAUAUAUCGUUUUAUCUAGAUAAUUUUAAAAUAGUAUUGCUGUCAAGUAAAACAGUUUAGGACGUAUAGAAACCAUAUACUCAUUUUUAUUUAUAAAUUUUUAUUUUUCAGAAAGAAGAGUUCGAAUAAUUAAAUUUAACAAAAAAUAUUCCUCUUUUGAUUUGGAUCAAUUCGUAGAUAAAAAUCAAAGUUGAAACGUAUAGAGGGACUGUAUCACUGGUAGUGAACCAAGUUGAAACAUACGAAGUUCUUUGUAUAAAUUUUUGUAUCACUUAUAGUAGUUUCGGAGCAUUUUUUUUACUUGCAGAGAAAGUUUUAACUUCUGUCAAUUAAAGUUCACAUCAAUAACCAUCCUUCACGGAUGGAUCACCACGUUAAACGAUGCCUUGUCGAUGAGUUAUUGACUUCGAAGAGACCUUUUAAUUUGGUCUAAUUAAACGAUCAGCACCAUAAAAAAUUAUAUCAUCCGCCGUUGCAACUCGUUAAGAGCGUCUUACGUCAUCUCGAACCCUAUUAUUUUCCGGUUACAUUUUCUAACACGAUUGUUCGUUCUGGUCUACGACCAAGUUCAAAAACGGAAUUUUUUCAAGUAACGAAAAACGUGUCAAACAUAAAUUUAUAUUCAAAGCUUUGUCGAACAAUUCUACACGGAGAAAAAGGUUACUUUAGAUUCAGUGUUCCUAUUUAAUUGACUGAAAUUUGUUUCAUUGAAAUAACAUAUGCUUAUACAAAACAUUAUUUGUUUGAAUACAAAUUUUGUUAUUUUGUUAAAAAAAAUCU